CAGUCGACGAACUCUGGUAUUGAUUGGUGCUUGCAUCAUGAUUUACAUUUGAGUGAGUGGCGAACUGGUGAGUAACACGUGGGAAACCUGCCCAGAAGCGGGGGAUAACACCUGGAAACAGAUGCUAAUACCGCAUAACAACUUGGACCGCAUGGUCCGAGUUUGAAAGAUGGCUUCGGCUAUCACUUUUGGAUGGUCCCGCGGCGUAUUAGCUAGAUGGUGGGGUAACGGCUCACCAUGGCAAUGAUACGUAGCCGACCUGAGAGGGUAAUCGGCCACAUUGGGACUGAGACACGGCCCAAACUCCUACGGGAGGCAGCAGUAGGGAAUCUUCCACAAUGGACGAAAGUCUGAUGGAGCAACGCCGCGUGAGUGAAGAAGGGUUUCGGCUCGUAAAACUCUGUUGUUAAAGAAGAACAUAUCUGAGAGUAACUGUUCAGGUAUUGACGGUAUUUAACCAGAAAGCCACGGCUAACUACGUGCCAGCAGCCGCGGUAAUACGUAGGUGGCAAGCGUUGUCCGGAUUUAUUGGGCGUAAAGCGAGCGCAGGCGGUUUUUUAAGUCUGAUGUGAAAGCCUUCGGCUCAACCGAAGAAGUGCAUCGGAAACUGGGAAACUUGAGUGCAGAAGAGGACAGUGGAACUCCAUGUGUAGCGGUGAAAUGCGUAGAUAUAUGGAAGAACACCAGUGGCGAAGGCGGCUGUCUGGUCUGUAACUGACGCUGAGGCUCGAAAGUAUGGGUAGCAAACAGGAUUAGAUACCCUGGUAGUCCAUACCGUAAACGAUGAAUGCUAAGUGUUGGAGGGUUUCCGCCCUUCAGUGCUGCAGCUAACGCAUUAAGCAUUCCGCCUGGGGAGUACGGCCGCAAGGCUGAAACUCAAAGGAAUUGACGGGGGCCCGCACAAGCGGUGGAGCAUGUGGUUUAAUUCGAAGCUACGCGAAGAACCUUACCAGGUCUUGACAUACUAUGCAAAUCUAAGAGAUUAGACGUUCCCUUCGGGGACAUGGAUACAGGUGGUGCAUGGUUGUCGUCAGCUCGUGUCGUGAGAUGUUGGGUUAAGUCCCGCAACGAGCGCAACCCUUAUUAUCAGUUGCCAGCAUUAAGUUGGGCACUCUGGUGAGACUGCCGGUGACAAACCGGAGGAAGGUGGGGAUGACGUCAAAUCAUCAUGCCCCUUAUGACCUGGGCUACACACGUGCUACAAUGGAUGGUACAACGAGUUGCGAACUCGCGAGAGUAAGCUAAUCUCUUAAAGCCAUUCUCAGUUCGGAUUGUAGGCUGCAACUCGCCUACAUGAAGUCGGAAUCGCUAGUAAUCGCGGAUCAGCAUGCCGCGGUGAAUACGUUCCCGGGCCUUGUACACACCGCCCGUCACACCAUGAGAGUUUGUAACACCCAAAGUCGGUGGGGUAACCU
rnacentral:rRNA from 3 species